CAUCACUCCUGCCUUUUUUAAUAUAACCUGUGCAUUUGAUGACAUUCCUUUAAAUUUAUUGAAUAUAUUAUUUCUGUAGAUUUUAAUAAAUAACUUUUCCUUUCCUUCACACCUUAGGUAUUAUCAAGGAAAAAAAAAAAAAAGAUAAGCAUCAACCUCAGCCUUCAAGCAGAUAAAAUAGGUGCCUCUCACAUAGACAUGAAAAGAAAUGAAGAUUCUGAUGUGCUCUUGAUGCAUAAGGUGAGACGAAACUAACCUGUAAAUAACUUUCUGUUUCAUUUUCCAGGGAAGUAGAUCAAGACUCAGAUGGUCACGUCAGCUUUAAAGACUUCGAAUAUGCCAUGAACUAUGGACAAAAUCCAAUCAUGAGAAAAACAGCAGACAAAUCCUAAUUCAGAGACAUUCUACAAAAUACCUGACCAGCACUUCUCAAAACUGUCAAGGUCAAAAACAAGGAAUGCCUGAGAAAUGUCACAGCCAAGAGGAGCCUAAGGAGACAGGACAGCUAAAUGUAAUGGGAUAGCUGGGAUGGGAUCCUGGAAAAGGAAAAAUACAUUAGAUAAAAACCCUGGAAAACUGAAUGAAGCAUGGGCUUUGGUUAAUAGUAAUGUCAAAAUUGUUUCAUUAAUUAUAACAAAUGUAUGAUACUAAUGUAAAAUGUUAAUAAUAGGUGAAACUGGGUGUGAGGUGUAUGGGAAAUCUGUACUAUCUUCACAAUUUUUUUUUUGUAAAUCUAAAACUGUUCUAAAAUAAAAGUUUAUUUUAAAAUUU